UACGAAGGGGGCUAGCGUUGCUCGGAAUUACUGGGCGUAAAGGGCGCGUAGGGGGACAGUUAAGUCAGAGGUGAAAGCCCAGGGCUCAACCCUGGAAUUGCCUUUGAUACUGGCUGUCUUGAGUACGGGAGAGGUGAGUGGAACUCCGAGUGUAGAGGUGAAAUUCGUAGAUAUUCGGAAGAACACCAGUGGCGAAGGCGACUCACUGGCCCGUUACUGACGCUGAGGCGCGAAAGCGUGGGGAGCAAACAGG
rnacentral:rRNA from 1 species